GGAUAUAACGAGCAAUUUGGAAAAAUAAAUUUGUCGGUUUCUCAUACGGUUGCGAAGCCUUAGAUAUAACAAGAAAAACAGUGUUCGGGGAGAUAACUCUUACAAGGUAAAGUUUUUGUUGCGCGGUGUCAGUUUCAGAAGCGUAUUAACUGUUCGAUAUCAUAUACCAUAUAUCUAAGCGACAUCUUGGGAAACAAAAAAACAGUGAAGGGAAAAAAAAUUGGCGGAAGAAAAAAAAAAUAAUAAUCAGAACAAAAACAAUAGGUCUUUCACCUGAAAGGUUGAAAGACCUAAUAAUAAUCAGAAC
rnacentral:lncRNA from 1 species